ensembl:snoRNA
GACCUCCCAGGCUGGCAUCUGGAGAGUGGCUAGUAUUCUGCCAGCUUCAGGUACAGGAGAGGAAGAAAGCCUGGCAGAGCGGUUGCCAUUCCAUUCCCAGCUUGCUCAGUAGCUGGUGAUUGGAAGACACUGCAACAGUG